UUUUAGUUGAAAAAUACUACUCUCAAAAUCAUACCCUUUAAGGUAGAAUUUUGAAGGAUUUGGUUAUAACCCAAAACCAGAGAACGAGAAAAGCUCCUUAUCUUCUUCUUCGUCUCCAAUGUUGAGAGGAACAGUCGUUUAGUACAGAACGCUGAUGCUCAGUUCAAGCAAUUCUCCACUUUUUAUGGACAACAAGUAGACAUUCUCGAUUUUCCAAUCAAAUCAUCCUCGAUUUUCCAAUCGCUGUCUCCACUGCAAUCAACAACGAGGACUACAUAGCUCUGAAGAGUUCGCCUUUUCAGUCCCUUGGUGGUGAGGAUGGUCACGAAGACUCCAAGUCUCGAGAUUCUUCAAGAAGCAAGGAGAAAGACAAGGAGAAUGGACGUGAUAAAGACAGAGACAAAGAUCGUGAUGGUCAACGUGAAAGGGAGAAGAGCAGAGAUAGGGAGAAAAGUAGAGAUAGAGAUAGGGAGAAGAGUAAGGAUAGGGAAUGAGACCGUCAUCAUAGAGAUCAUCAUAGGGACCGUAGCAGAGAACAUAGUGAGAAAAGGGAACGUGAGAGAGAUGAUUUGGAUGAUGAUCAUCAUCUUCAUCGCAGAAGUCGAGACAAGGGAACACGAAAAACAGUGGCCGUGCAGCUUAAUUACUCUGUUUGUGUUUUUUGUUCUGGUCUAUAGACAGUUCUUCACAAAUAAGCGAUUAAUAAAAAUCUAUAGCAAAAUAUUUUAAAAUCACACAAAGUUUACUAAUAAAAAUCUCAUAGAAUCAA